rnacentral:rRNA from 11 species
CCGAAAGGCGUAGUCGAUGGGAAACAGGUUAAUAUUCCUGUACCUGGUGGAAUGUGACGGAUACCGUAAGUUGUUCUUCCUUAUUGGAUUGGAAGGGCCGCGAAGGUGUCCCAGGAAAUAGCACCACCAUAUAGACCGUACCCUAAACCGACACAGGUGGGAUGGUAGAGCAUACCAAGGCGCUUGAGAGAACUAUGCUGAAGGAACUCGGCAAAUUGCCUCCGUAACUUCGGGAUAAGGAGGCCCAUCAUUAAGGCAACUUUUUGGUGGGGGCACAAAAGAGGGGGUGGCGACUGUUUACUAAAAACACAGGGCUCUGCGAA